UGCCAGACUCCUACGGGAGGCAGCAGUGGGGAAUAUUGCACAAUGGGGGGAACCCUGAUGCAGCGACGCCGCGUGGGUGAAGAAGUCAUUCGUGACGUAAAGCCCUAUCAGCAGGGAAGAAAAUGACGGUACCUGACUAAGAAGCCCCGGCUAACUACGUGCCAGCAGCCGCGGUAAUACGGAGGAUGCGAGCGUUAUCCGGAUUUAUUGGGUUUAAAGGGUGCGCAGGCGGCACGGCAAGCCGGCGGUCAAAUCGCGGGGCUCAACCCCGCCCAGCCGUCGGAACUGCCGGGCUAGAGUGGGCGAGAAGUGCGCGGAAUGCGUGGUGUAGCGGUGAAAUGCAUAGAUAUCACGCAGAACUCCGAUUGCGAAGGCAGCGCACCGGCGCCCUACUGACGCUCAGGCACGAAAGCGUGGGUAUCGAACAGGAUUAGAUACCCUCGUACC
rnacentral:rRNA from 1 species